rnacentral:rRNA from 1 species
AACGAACGCUAGCGGCAGGCCUAACACAUGCAAGUCGAACGGACAUUGAAGUUGGUUCGCCAAUGGAGAUGUUAGUGGCAGACGGGUGAGGAAUACAUAGGAAUCUACCUAGUAGUAUGGAAUAGUCACUGGAAACGGUGAGUAAUACCACAUACGCCCUGCGGGGGAAAGAUUUAUCGCUAUUAGAUGAGCCUAUGCUGGAUUAGCUAGUUGGCGGGGUAAAUGCCUACCAAGGCGACGAUCCAUAGCUGGCCUGAGAGGGUGACCAGCCACACUGGAACUGAGAUACGGUCCAGACUCCUACGGGAGGCAGCAGUGGGGAAUAUUGGGCAAUGGGCGCAAGCCUGACCCAGCCAUGCCGCAUGAGUGAAGAAGGCCUUCGGGUUGUAAAGCUCUUUCAGCGGGGAAGAUUAUGACGGUACCCGCAGAAGAAGUCCUGGCUAACUCCGUGCCAGCAGCCGCCGUAA